UCAUUUUACAAAUCAUUCAAAAGAUUUCAAAAAAAUUCAAAAGAUUUAAAAUGAUUCGGCGAGAUUGAAUCUUUUUUGACUAUUUUCUCGCCUUAUUGACGUUUUUGUUCAGUGUGGCGAGAUUGAUAAUAAAAAAAAGUUUAAAAAAAUCAAAACAUAAACAAAGACGGUAUUCGGAAUAUUCGUGCCGGUCACAUUUAGUUACACACCCCCGCAGGGUAGUAAUAAAUCCAUUGGGAAUAGUAGCAGUGCCGGCACCGCGACCAACAACUCCAGCAAACACCAUCACCUGAUUGCAUCUUCUAGUCAAGCCUCUGGUGGGCUCCUGGGAAGCAGUGCUAAUGGCGGCAGUUUGAACAUGAACGGUGGCCACACCGUGGUGCUUUCGGAUCUGGACUCGAGCGACGAUAAUCAUCUGAGCUUCUUGGAACCGAUAAUCACGAUAAUUAUCUGAGCAAAAAUGGAACCGAUAUAUUCGACUACGAUUGUGAUUACGAUAAUGAAGAGGAGUUCAACUAUCAGGCCCGCGCUGCAGCUGCCGUAGCAGCAUCGACCAGUGCCACCAGCUCUUGCACUCCCGGUGGGGCAAAUGCGGCUGGUUCUGCUGCUGUUCGCAGCGGUAGCAGCAAUAGCAAUAGCAGCAGCAAAAAUCGCGUUUCGUUCGAUGCCAAUAUAAGUGAUUUCCAGCAAGUUUCUCUUAUUGGAGACUUCGAUAUGGAUGGAAGGGGCCUGCUGAAAACCCGAAGGUCCAACAGUCUUACCACGACGGUGAGCAGUGCAUGCGGACUUUCGUUUGGCGAGCUGCAUCAGCAAAAGCAUAACAACGAAUAUUUAUCAGCGGAAAAUCUAGCUAACCUGCAGCUUCUGCAGAAUAAACCAAGGAGUUUCUCCUAAACCAUGGACAGUCCUCGUUCGUCGGUACAGUUUGCUACUGCGAAUGAAAUGAUUAAUGGCUGGCUACCAGGGCCUGACACAAGCUCCCUAAAUUUCUGAGGGCCAUGCCACCUAAAUUUCCGGUGGACUAUGCUGCGCGAAUUUGCUUACAGUCCCUCGCUGGCACUCGGACGAUGAUCAGCUGCCCCUAACAUGGAGAACAAAUGCUGUUGUGAGCCGCUUCUAACAUGGAGAACAGACGCUCGUUCAGACUUGCACCCAAGAGAGGAGCAAACUCCCUUUCACGUUCCCUGACACCGUACAACCAUAGUUCCCACCGGGGUUGGUUACCCAAUGCUCCCUAAGGUUGCUCGUACCCCGGCCAGCACCACGGGGAGGUAGGGAUAGGCGUUGCUGAGAACCGCGAGAUGGAGUCUAUUUUGUUCCUUCAGGGAAGAAAUCACAUCAAUCAACAAAAAGAUGGAACAGAUCUUUCGAAAUCCAGAAAAGGGAGUAUAUAUGAUCCUUGAUGGCCGGAAGGGUCGUUGCCAAUCCACCAUCCACAAGUUGCAGAUCUUCGAGAAUCCUAAUGACCGGAACAGCUGUUUGACGGGUUCGAGGAAAUAUCCGUUACCAUGAUUGAGAAGGAGCUUUUUUAUAAAGUAUUCAACAACUGACCGCAGUACAAGAGGACAGCGCAUGUGUUGUGAAUAAUGAAUAAAUGGCACAAUUUCUAUUGAUAAGUAGAUAAGAAUAUAAAUCAUGCUAGAUAUAAUAUAAAUAUAUAUUUAUUAUAUGAGA